CUACACACGUGCUACAAUGGCGCAUACAAAGAGAAGCGACCUCGCGAGAGCAAGCGGACCUCAUAAAGUGCGUCGUAGUCCGGAUUGGAGUCUGCAACUCGACUCCAUGAAGUCGGAAUCGCUAGUAAUCGUGGAUCAGAAUGCCACGGUGAAUACGUUCCCGGGCCUUGUACACACCGCCCGUCACACCAUGGGAGUGGGUUGCAAAAGAAGUAGGUAGCUUAACCUUCGGGAGGGCGCUUACCACUUUGUGAUUCAUGACUGGGGUGAAGUCGUAACAAGGUAACCGUAGGGGAACCUGCGGUUGGAUCACCUCCUU
rnacentral:rRNA from 1 species